UAUGUGAUCGUCUCUCGCAUAUCAAUAAGCGGAGGAAAAGAAACUAACAAGGAUUCCCCUAGUAACGGCGAGUGAAGCGGGAAGAGCUCAAAUUUGAAAUCUUAAAGGGUUUCCCUUUACGAAUUGUAGUUUAAAGAAGUGUUUUCUGUUGAGGUUUUGGUAAAAGUUCUUUGGAAUAGGACAUCAUAGAGGGUGAGAAUCCCGUAUUUGACCUUUACUUUCAACUUUGUGAUACACUUUCAAAGAGUCGGAUUGUUUGGGAAUGCAGUCCAAAAUGGGUGGUAAAUUUCAUCUAAAGCUAAAUAUUGGCGAGAGACCGAUAGCGAACAAGUACCGUGAGGGAAAGAUGAAAAGAACUUUGAAAAGAGAGUUAAACAGUACGUGAAAUUGUCAAAAGGGAAGCGUUUGACACCAGUGUUGUUUUUCUGAAAAUCAAUUAAAGAACUGUUUAUGCUAAGCUGUUUAGACUUUAUCAGCUAUCUGUUUAGUUUUGAGCUUUUCUUUAAUGCACUUUUCAGUUAACAAGUCAACAUCAAUUUCUUUUGCUGUAAAAAAGCUUGAGGAAGGUGGCUUGAGAUUCGUCUUAAGUGUUUAUAGCCUCUUGCCUAUGCAGUCGGAGAGAUUGAGGUCUGCAGCGUAGAUCCUUCGGGGCUAAAUGCAUUUGUGCUAAGUUAUAGCAUUUUAUAGACAACUUGUUGACUAUGAUUUGUCUUGUAGCUUACUCGCUUAUGUUAUUCUACCUACGCUUAGGAUGUUGAGCGCAUGUCUCUCUCU
rnacentral:rRNA from 1 species